CCUACGGGAGGCUGCAGUGGGGAAUAUUGGGCAAUGGGCGCAAGCCUGACCCGGCAACGCCGCGUGAAGGAAGAAGGCUUUCGGGUUGUAAACUUCUUUUGUCAGGGAAGAGUAGAAGACGGUACCUGACGAAUAAGCCACGGCUAACUACGUGCCAGCAGCCGGGGUAAUACGUAGGGGGCAAGCGUUGUCCGGAUUUACUGGGUGAAAAGGGCGUGUAGCCGGGUUGACAAGUCAGAUGUGAAAUCCUGCGGCUUAACCGCAGAACUGCAUUUGAAACUGUUGAUCUUGAGUACUGGAGAGGCAGACGGAAUUCCUAGUGUAGCGGUGAAAUGCGUAGAUAUUAGGAGGAACACCAGUGGCGAAGGCGGUCUGCUGGACAGCAACUGACGGUGAGGCGCGAAAGCGUGGGGAGCAAACAGGAUUAGAUACCCCAGUAGUC
rnacentral:rRNA from 1 species